rnacentral:misc_RNA from 1 species
AACGCACAUUGCGCCCCCUGGUAUUCCGGGGGGCAUGCCUGUCCGAGCGUCAUUGCUACCCUCAAGCGCGGCUUGUAUUGGGCUACCGUCCCCCCAGGGGGGACGGGCCUGAAAGGCAGCGGCAGCACUGCGUCUGGUCCUCGAGCGUAUGGGGCUCUGUCACCCGCUCUGCAGGACCGGCCAGCGCUAGCCUAGCAACCUCUUUUUUUCCAGGUUGACCUCGGAUCAGGUAGGGAUACCCGCUGAACUUAA